rnacentral:rRNA from 1 species
AUUGAACGCUGGCGGCAUGCCUUACACAUGCAAGUCGAACGGCUGCACGGGUCUUGCUCCUUGAUUCCGCGUCGCGCACGUGUGAGAUGCACAUGGAUCUAUGUCCUGUUGUGGGGGAUAGUCCGGCGAAAGCCGCUUAUAUCCCAUAUGUGCUCUACGGAUGAGAGGGGGGGCUUCUCACCUCUCGCUCUCUAGUGAUGGUCGAUGGCGGAUUAGCUAGUUGGUGGGGUAAAGGCCUACCAAGGCGACGAUCAGUAUCUGGUCUGAGAGGACGACCAGCCACACUGGAACUGAGACACGGCCCAGACUCCUACGGGAGGCAGCAGUGGGGAAUAUUGGACAAUGGGCGAAAGCCUGAUCCAGCAAUGCCGCGUGUGUGAAGAAGGUCUUCGGAUUGUAAAGCACUUUUGGUCGGGAAGAAGGGCAGGAAGCUAAUACGGUGCGGGGAUGACGGUACCAGAAGAAUAAGCACCGGCUAACUACGUG